UACGGAGGGUGCAAACGUUGCUCGGAAUCAUUGGGCGUAAAGCGCACGUAGGCGGCCUGUUAAGUCGGGUGUGAAAGCCCUGGGCUCAACCCAGGAAGUGCACUCGAAACUGACGGGCUUGAAUAUGGAAGAGGGUCGCGGAAUUCCCGGUGUAGAGGUAAAAUUCGUAGAUAUCGGGAGGAACACCAGUGGCGAAGGCGGCGACCUGGGCCAAUAUUGACGCUGAGGUGCGAAAGCGUGGGGAGCAAACAGG
rnacentral:rRNA from 1 species